CCUACGGGCGGCAGCAGUGGGGAAUAUUGCACAAUGGGGGAAACCCUGAUGCAGCGACGCCGCGUGAGUGAAGAAGUAUUUCGGUACGUAAAGCUCCAUCAGCAGGGAAGAAAAAAAGUCCUUUGGACUCUGGACGGUACCUGACUAAGAAGCCCCGGCUAACUACGUGCCAGCAGCCGCGGUAAUACGUAGGGGGCAAGCGUUAACCGGAUUUACUGGGUGUAAAGGGAGCGUAGACGGCAGCGCAAGGCUGGAGUGAAAUGCCGGGGCCCAACCCCGGAACUGCUUUGGAAACUGUGCAGCUGGAGUGGAGGAGAGGUAAGCGGAAUUCCUAGUGUAGCGGUGAAAUGCGUAGAUAUUAGGAGGAACACCAGUGGCGAAGGCGGCUUACUGGACUGUAACUGACGUUGAGGCUCGAAAGCGUGGGUAGCAAACAGGAUUAGAUACCCCAGUAGUC
rnacentral:rRNA from 1 species